rnacentral:lncRNA from 1 species
CUGACCAGCAGCUCUUGCAUGAGGCACCUACAGGCAGAGGAUUAAUUAGGUUUUCAGUUUCAGUUUCCCAGAAAGGAGGUGGGCUUUUUUUUCACCCUGCUUUAAAAGCCCUUGGGCCCUUCCCAGCUGGGUGCCAGCCAACUGUGGCUGCCUGGGACACUCCAUCUUAAGUCCCUGUGCCUCUGCUGUGUGUUACUGAGUGCCUAGGCCGUGCCAGCCUGUAUUCAUCUGUACUAUGACCUGAAGAGGCAGAGGCCAUCACUGUUGGUCCGGUCUCCACCUGGGGAAACUGAGGUUGCACAGUGUCUCUGUGGUGACGAGCAGGGCUUCAUCCAGUGCCUCUGUCCCCACCGAGGGGACUAUGGGAGACAUGGAGGGUGUGUGAGCAACAGGUGAGACUGGAGCCAGCUGAAAACUGGGAGACCGACCCAGCCAACAAACAAUGUCGGUCUCUGUCUUGGCACCUGCAGGAAACAAGCUCCUACUUCCAGAAAAAGUGCUCCUGGGACUCCAGGAUACCAGGCAUCUGGGUAAGCUACAAUGCUUAACCACUUAACACAAUCAGGAAGCAACAGCCAUGCAUUCGGGAAAGGAACUUCAGUGUUGUGUGGCUCAGUCUCCAGACCUAACUUUCCCUUUGGUACAGACGCGGUGGUACAUGCCUGUAAUCCCAACACUUAGGCAGGAGGAUCACUCGAGCCCAGAAGAUCAAGACUAGUGUGAGCAACAAAAUCCUUCCCUGGCACCGGUUCCAGGAGGACCUCGUUCUUAGGCAGCAUCUGUGUCUCUGUUUUGUAAGACACACAGAGUAUCCUUAACCCACUGCAGAUAUUUCCCUGGGUCCAUGGUCAAUCAACACCACCUUUCAGUCUCCAGCCUCUUAACCAGCCCAGGGCUGAGUGUUGUUUAUAGUAUUAAUAUGUUUCUGGCUGGGCUCAGUGGCUCAUGCCUGUAAUCCCGGCACUAUGGGAGGCUGAGGCAGGCGGAUCACUUGAGGUCAGGAGUUCAAGACCAGCCUGGCCAACAUAGUAAAACCCCGUCUCUACUAAAAAUACAAAAAUGAGCCGGGUGUGGUGGCGUGUGUCUAUAAUCCCAGCUACUCGGGAGGCUGAGGCAGGAGAAUUGCUUGAACCUGGGAGGUGGAGGCUACAGUGAGCUGAGAUCAUGCCACUGCACUCCAGCCUGGGCAAGAAAGUGAGACUCCAUCUCAAAACAAAGAAACAAACAAAGUAUUAAUAUGUUCCCCUUGAUCAGUGGGGUGGUUCACCCUUGUAAUCCCAGCACUUUGGGAGGCAGAGGCUGGCGGAUCGCUUGAGUCCAGGAGUUCGAGACCAGCCUGGGUGAACUAGCAAAACCCUGCCUGUACUAAAAAUACAAAAAUUAACUGGGCUUGGUGGUGCGAGCCUGUAAUCCCAGUGGAGGCUGAGACAGGAGAAUCCUUUUGUAAUGCCUGACCUUGUUUUUUUACUAACCCUAUUUUAACCUUGUUUUUACUAACCCUAUUUUUAAAUUUUCCCUUUUUGUCUCCUUAAUUACCUAGCCUUGUUUCCCAUAUGAGUAGACUCUCCCUUAGCUGGGAAAGCCUGACGAACGCCAUCUGGCCCCUUGAUUUACAAGACAUUAAGGGCUACUUACCCAACCCCCUUCCUCAAAGAGUUAACCUGCGUAAGCAGAUCCUCAGCAUUUCAAAGGAGCCCAAUUAGCUGAUAAGGUACUGGAACAAACAAUGUACGAAGUUCCCAGGAUUUUGCUCAAAAGCAUAACAACAUAAAGCCUUGAGUCUGUGUCUGGCAUAGCAUCCAUAUCUAACUCUUAUGAAGGAUUUAGAGCCCGGCACCUGGUUCCGUUGCUUUUUUUGUAACCAUUUGUCUUUUAAAUUGUUUAUUUCUCUGUAACCAUUUGUUUUUUGAUUCUUGCAUGUUUUUACUUCUGUAGAAUUAUUGCAUUUGAGCUCCGCUCCCCUUCCGAACCAAGGUAUAAAAGUAAAUCAAGCCCCUUCCUCGGGGCCGAGAGAAUUUUGGAAAGUCAAGCCUUCUCUUGGCUGCCGGCUUAAAUAAAGGACUCUUAAUUCGUCUCG